rnacentral:lncRNA from 1 species
GGCACUUAAAAACAGAGUCACAUCCCUAGCCAUCUUUAUUUAUUUAUUUAUUUAUUUUUAAAACUUGGUUUUCUUUUUUUUUUUUAAACAGAGAGAGAGAAUUUUUUUUUUAAUAUUUAUUUUUUAGUUCUCGGCAGACACAACAUCUUUGUUUGUAUGUGGUGCUGAGGAUCGAACCUGGGUGCACGCAUGCCAGACGAGCGUGCUACCGCUUGAGCCACAUCCCCAGCCCUUAUUUUUUUAUUUUGAGACAGUGUCUUGCCAAAUUGCUGAAGUUGGCUUUGAACUUGGGAUCCUCCUGCCUCAGCCUCCUGAAUCACUGGGAUUACCGAUGUGUGCCAUUGCAUCUGGCCUGUAUUUUUUUUUA